UAUAUAUAUAUAUAGGACUUCUGUUACCUUAUAGGUAGCAAUAUCAUCUCUGAGACGAGAUUUCACAAAAAGAGCAUGGGUCAGUUUUGGUCUUGACCUCAGCCAUUCAUAAACUCCGACUCCUGCAGCAU
rnacentral:sRNA from 1 species